AGACGUGCGUGUGUUUUCCGUCCAAAUCGGGUCUUUCUGUGAUAAUUGAAUUAGGCGUUGGACUUUUUGUGAUUGAAACUGGACGGAAAUGAGGAUGUUUGAGCUCUUUAUCAGUGUCCAUUUCGUGAACCUUGUUCAGUUCACAAUCAGAGCCCAAGGCUUAAAGGGAGUUUCAGAUACUCAAACACGUCCACACACUCAAAUAUUCGUUCGAGUGAUAAGAACCUAGUUACUCAGAGCCCCAAAAUGCACCCUAUUCAGGCAAAGUUUGAUCGGACCAAACAUUUAAAGCUGUUCUUACGACAAGUGAGUAAAACUCGAUCGAAAUGGUUGAAAUAUUCCACCGGCUGCGAUUUCAAAGACUUAAAGAUGAAGGCCGAGAACGGAGCUCAAAAAGGCUUUGAGGAGUCGUGGCAUCAAAUUAAUCCUCAUUACAAUAUUGUGUCAAGACGUUAAAACAUUGUUUGUUGCAAAAUUUCAGGAUUAAAACAAAAUAGCUGUUGUGUUGAUUUUUUA